AAUUAUAUAUAUAAAUAAAAUGAUAAACACUUCAUAAACUUUCAUGUCCAAUAAGCUAAUAAGAACCAUAAUAGCAAAAUGUUUUAACCCAAUCAUUUCAAAAGUUAAAGUUUCAAAUGUUGUUAACAAAAGACUCCUAGAAUAUCGACAACAAUUCAAAGUUCUUCUUAAGUAAGGUCUAGAUCUUCACUAUCUUCAUCUUCCCUUUCUUCAGUUGCUCUACCUACAAAAGAGAAUAAAUAAAGUCAUUACCCUUCAAAGGUUGGUUACCAUUAUAAGAAUGGGUAUAGUCCAUGAGCAAUACAUAAAGCACAAAGUUUUCAGGAGAAAGAAACAAGUUCACACAAAUGAAGAAGCCAAAGUUUAAUAACAAAUCUAAAUCAUCAAAACCAAACUUAUAAGCAUAUGCAUUCAGGCAAAUUGAGAUCAAGUUGUCUGCUUUUCUCAUUUUGAACCAACUCAAACAUAAAACAUAAGCAAAUGAACAAUUUAACAGUUUCGGUAGCCAACCAAACUAAUAGUUUUCUACUUUUUUUUUCAAGUAACAAUCUGAACUGGAUACAUUCCUAUGGAUCCAUAGAAAUGGCAUUUAGGUUUUCCAUGUCCUAUGGAUUCAUAGAAACACAGAAUGUUGCUCCCUGGAUACCUAAUUUUUUACCAUUGGUUAUGUCCUUUUUGCCUCUUGAAUUCAUUUGUGUAUUUUCCACUUUUCCUCUCCUCUGCACAGCUGAGGCACUUGCCAGUUUAUUUUGAGUUAAUAACAUAUUCGUGUGCAGGCCAGGCCAUCUUUGAAGACAGAAAGAGAGAAGAAGAAAGAAAUGUCUUUGUCAGUUUACAAAAACCUAGAGUUUACCUUCACAAACCCCACCAGUAAUCAAAACUAUCUUUUGCAACUUCAUGGGAUACUGGUACAAACAGGUUAAAAUUAUAUGCUUCAACAAACUGAUAAUAAUUGCUCUACAUACAACAACAAAGAAUUACCUAAUAACAAUCUCAAGAUUAUAUUACUCCAAUCUCCUACUAGUCAAUUCUUUACAACUCCAAAUAAUCAAGGCGAACACUUUUAAGAUAUUCAAGAUGCUAGAGCGCUGGAACCUACUGCAGAACAGAUAAUUGUUAUUUAAUUACUGUAAUUGCUUUUAUCAAUUUUCUACUACAUCCUAUUCAAAAAUUCCAACUUCUUCAGAAUAUCUCACUGAUUAGAGCUACGCACAUUCAUUAUAUAGAGCUUUAUUUCACAUAUAUUAAAUGGGAUAAAAUUUAGAAUAGAAUUUAUAAGCUCUAUUUAAAUUAAUGAACUUAAGCAAUAUGUCCAAAAAAUUUGGAACUAACCUCUGCAAGAAGUAAUAUAAUCUUAGCUUGUACAGGUACUUAUGAUUGAAGCGUUCU
rnacentral:lncRNA from 1 species